GUCCAGCUGACGAGUCCCAAAUAAGACGAGACGCGUCAAACUGGAU
rnacentral:hammerhead_ribozyme from 1 species